rnacentral:lncRNA from 1 species
UGAAUUGACGGCAAGAUCCACUAGAAACGCGUUAUGCGUUUGUGUAGAACGGUUUUGGUAUUUCAACGUGCCGCAAUGAAGCGUUGUUUCAGGCCGCUUUGUGGAACGUCGAUCUGCAAUCAGUGAAACUGCCUCGCAUAAAUGCCCCCCCAGUGAGGACCCACCCCCCUCCAUGCACAUGUCAGUCUUAGAGAGAACGCGCCUGCCCCGUCCACCACUUUCCUCCUCUGGCCAUGAGCCUCUCCUGGACCCACGCACGUCACGCCCCUUCCUCUCCCCCGGGGUGCUCGGACUGGGGUCUCGCUUCUCCAGCUGUGCUGCAAGGCGGCGGGGGAGAAGCGCGUUGAAGUCAUUCAGCACUGUAAUCUGGGAGUCUUUCCCCAACGUACAGCUGUGCAGCGUCGGAAUGAGAUGCAACAAUGGUACUUGAAAAUGUCUCUCAAAAUAGAUGCAAAACAGCGUAAAUCAGGUAAAGAAAAGUCGCCACGACAGAUCCCACACGGAGUGCACCUGUGCCGGCAGUUUUUAAUUUGGAAAACUCCUCGGGUGUGGAGGCCCCGUGACUUUGUGAUUUGUCAAAGCACGCGUCUGUUCAAGUGGACCCUCGUUUAAACCAAGCCUCUUUGUGAUUUCGUACCCGUGUGCUGGCCUGGUGUGUCGCUGUCUUGUUUUUGACAAGUGUCCUCUUGGGAACCCAUGACAGAUGUCCUCUGGAAGGACUGAUAAGCCCCCAGCACUCUGGGAAUCGGACAUUAGACACAGCUGCCAGGACCCACAGGCUACCUCUGCCUCUGUCUGAAAGGCCAGUGACCACUACAGAAAUAUCGUGGAACCUGUUUGUAUCUGGAGAAAAGAGGAAAGAAAAUCUGAAGGGGGUUUUGGUUCAAUACGGCUGGACAGAAAUCAUUCAAUACGUUUUUGAGGGGAUUCCUUUAAAAAAUGGUUUAAAACCAAGAACCUUUUUCUUUGCUCUCCUCAGGUCUUCUAACAAUCAUAGAUACAAACAGAUGGUAGACAGGACAGAGAUACAGAAUUAUAAUCCCCCCCCCACCACCACCCCAUUAGUGAAAGUGUCACUUUUUCUGUGGGAGUACAAAAAUCCAUACUUUGGUAUAAUUUGGAUACAAGGUGGAUAACUGGGAUGUGAGUGUGGAAGGAGUUCAUGGAACAUCUGCCUGAAACGGAGGCAUGCCUAAGAGUCCAGAGGCAGAAGAAAACUUCAGAUUGUAUCACAGACCUUUUCCUUUCUUGUUCCGAGAAAAAAAAAAUUCUUUAGGUGAAUGAGCAAAUAAUGAUGUACAAUGCUGUCAUUUUGCUUUGUUGCUAAGGCACAGCGCAAUUAAAAGAUUUCACUCCUGGAGAAAAAAAAAUAAGCUAGCCUUUCCUUUAAUUGAUCUGAUGGCACAAUUCAGGACUUAUUAACCAGUUGUGAUUUUAAUCAGCAGCACGGCGCAGGCAAUUCAGUUUCCCAUUAUUUUGUUGACUGUUUUCAAUUAAAACACAGCAGGAAUUCAUAUUCAAGCUUCCCGUCACUGCUGAUUACUUUGAAAACAUUUGUAAAAUACAGAUUAUUCCCCAUCAUGCUAGUUUUAUGGGUAUGUGGUUUCUGUGCUGUGUGGAAGGUCUUUCACUGCUUUCAGUUAAUCUGCAGCAAAGAGAUUGUUAAUGAUUGUUAGAAAUAGCUGUUACAUGCUUAUCUACAGUGUAUGAAAAACCUAAUACAGAAUAUCAUAUAGAUACAUGAUAACUCAGUAA